ACUCCUACGGGAGGCAGCAGUGGGGAAUUUUGCGCAAUGGGGGAAACCCUGACGCAGCAACGCCGCGUGAGUGAUGAAGGCCCUUGGGUCGUAAAGCUCUGACAGAGGAAAGAAAUGCAGAGGAGCUAAUAUCUCCUUUGCUUGACGGUACCCUCAAAGGAAGCACCGGCUAACUCCGUGCCAGCAGCCGCGGUAAUACGGGGGGUGCAAGCGUUGUUCGGAUUUAUUGGGCGUAAAGCGCGUGUAGGCGGUUUUAUAAGUCUGAUGUGAAAGCCCUGGGCUCAACCCGGGAAGUGCAUUGGAUACUGUAAGACUUGAAUACGGGAGAGGGCAGUGGAAUUCCUAGUGUAGGAGUGAAAUCCGUAGAUAUUAGGAGGAACACCGGUGGCGAAGGCGGCUGCCUGGACCGAUAUUGACGCUGAGACGCGAAAGCGUGGGUAGCAAACAGGAUUAGAUACCCUGGUAGUCCACGCCGUAAACGAUGAGAACUAGGUGUCGCGGGUA
rnacentral:rRNA from 1 species